AUAUAAAAAAAGAAGAUGUGGUAUGAUUGCCAAUGAGACAACUGUCCACAAGAGACCAAAAUGACACAGACAUUAACAACUAUAGGUCACCGUACGGCCUUCAACAAUGAGCAAAGCCCAUACCGCAUAGUCAGCUACAAAAGGCCCAGAUAAGACAAUGUAAAACAAUUCAAACAAGAAAACUAACGGCCUUAUUUAUAUAAAAAAAA
rnacentral:lncRNA from 1 species